rnacentral:rRNA from 1 species
UACGUAGGGGUGCGAGCGUUUGUCCGGAAUUAUUGGGCGUAAAGGGCUCGUAGGCGGUUUGUCGCGUCGGGAGUGAAAACACCGGGCUUAAACUCGGUGCUUGCUUUCGAUACGGGCAGACUAGAGGUAUGCAGGGGAGAACGGAAUUCCUGGUGUAGCGGUGAAAAUGCGCAGAUAUCAGGAGGAACACCGGUGGCGAAGGCGGUUCUCUGGGCAUUACCUGACGCUGAGGAGCGAAAGUGUGGGGAGCGAACAGG